GAUGAACGCUGGCGGCGUGCCUAAUACAUGCAAGUCGAGCGAACGGACGAGAAGCUUGCUUCUCUGAUGUUAGCGGCGGACGGGUGAGUAACACGUGGAUAACCUACCUAUAAGACUGGGAUAACUUCGGGAAACCGGAGCUAAUACCGGAUAAUAUUUUGAACCGCAUGGUUCAAAAGUGAAAGACGGUCUUGCUGUCACUUAUAGAUGGAUCCGCGCUGCAUUAGCUAGUUGGUAAGGUAACGGCUUACCAAGGCAACGAUGCAUAGCCGACCUGAGAGGGUGAUCGGCCACACUGGAGCUGAGACACGGUCCAGACUCCUACGGGAGGCAGCAGUAGGGAAUCUUCCGCAAUGGGCGAAAGCCUGACGGAGCAACGCCGCGUGAGUGAUGAAGGUCUUCGGAUCGUAAAACUCUGUUAUUAGGGAAGAACAUAUGUGUAAGUAACUGUGCACAUCUUGACGGUACCUAAUCAGAAAGCCACGGCUAACUACGUGCCACGCAGCCGCGGUAAUACGUAGGUGGCAAGCGUUAUUCCGGAUUAUCGGGCGUAAAGCGCGCGUAAGCCGUUUUUUAAGUCUGAUGUGAAAGCCCACGGCUCAUUCGUGGAGGGUCAUUGGAAACUGGAAAACUUGAGUGCAGAAGAGGAAAGUGGAAUUCCAUGUGUAGCGGUGAAAUGCGCAGAGAUAUGGAGGAACACCAGUGGCGAAGGCGACUUUCUGGUCUGUAACUGACGCUGAUGUGCGAAAGCGUGGGGAUCAAACAGGAUUAGAUACCCUGGUAGUCCACGCCGUAAACGAUGAGUGCUAAGUGUUAGGGGGUUUCCGCCCCUUAGUGCUGCAGCUAACGCAUUAAGCACUCCGCCUGGGGAGUACGACCGCAAGGUUGAAACUCAAAGGAAUUGACGGGGACCCGCACAAGCGGUGGAGCAUGUGGUUUAAUUCGAAGCAACGCGAAGAACCUUACCAAAUCUUGACAUCCUUUGACAACUCUAGAGAUAGAGCCUUCCCCUUCGGAGGACAAAGUGACAGGUGGUGUAUGGUUGUCGUCAGCUCGUGUCGUGAGAUGUUGGGUUAAGUCCCGCAACGAGCGCAACCCUUAAGCUUAGUUGCCAUCAUUAAGUUGGGCACUCUAAGUUGACUGCCGGUGACAAACCGGAGGAAGGUGGGGAUGACGUCAAAUCAUCAUGCCCCUUAUGAUUUGGGCUACACACGUGCUACAAUGGACAAUACAAAGGGCAGCGAAACCGCGAGGUCAAGCAAAUCCCAUAAAGUUGUUCUCAGUUCGGAUUGUAGUCUGCAACUCGACUACAUGAAGCUGGAAUCGCUAGUAAUCGUAGAUCAGCAUGCUACGGUGAAUACGUUCCCGGGUCU
rnacentral:rRNA from 1 species